rnacentral:rRNA from 1 species
ACGAACGCUGGCGGCGUGCUUAACACAUGCAAGUCGAGCGACGCGCCUUCGGGUGACGGAGCGGCGAACGGGUGAGUAACACGUGGGCAACCUGCCCCUAGCUCUGGGAUAACUCCGGGAAACCGGGGCUAAUACCGGAUACGACCUCUGCCGGCAUCGGUGGGGGUGGAAAGUUCUUCGGCUAGGGAUGGGCCCGCGGCCUAUCAGCUUGUUGGUGGGGUGAUGGCCUACCAAGGCGACGACGGGUAGCCGGCCUGAGAGGGCGACCGGCCACACUGGGACUGAGACACGGCCCAGACUCCUACGGGAGGCAGCAGUGGGGAAUAUUGCGCAAUGGGCGAAAGCCUGACGCAGCGACGCCGCGUGGGGGAUGAAGGCCUUCGGGUUGUAAACCUCUUUCAGCAGGGACGAAUUCAGACGGUACCUGCAGAAGAAGCACCGGCCAACUACGU